GGGCGGUUAGUUCAGGGGCUAGAAUGCUUCCUUGACGCGGAAGAGGUCGCUGGUUCGAUUCCAGCACCGCCCACCA
rnacentral:tRNA from 3 species